GACGAACGCUGGCGGCGUGCUUAACACAUGCAAGUCGAGCGGUAAGGCCCUUUCGGGGGUACACGAGCGGCGAACGGGUGAGUAACACGUGGGUGACCUGCCCUCAGCUCUGGGAUAAGCCUGGGAAACCGGGUCUAAUACCGGAUAUGACUCCAUGACGCAUGUUGUGGGGUGGAAAGCCUUGUGCGGCUGAGGAUGGGCCCGCGGCCUAUCAGCUUGUUGGUGGGGUGANGGCCUACCAAGGCGACGACGGGUAGCCGGCCUGAGAGGGCGACCGGCCACACUGGGACUGAGACACGGCCCAGACUCCUACGGGAGGCAGCAGUGGGGAAUCUUGCGCAAUGGGCGAAAGCCUGACGCAGCGACGCCGCGUGAGGGAUGACGACCU
rnacentral:rRNA from 1 species